UCGGGAAUUUUGGGCAAUGGGGGAAACCCUGACCCAGCAACGCCGCGUGAAGGAUGAAGUAUUUCGGUAUGUAAACUUCGAAAGAAUAGGAAGAAUAAAUGACGGUACUAUUUAUAAGGUCCGGCUAACUACGUGCCAGCAGCCGCGGUAAUACGUAGGGACCAAGCGUUGUUCGGAUUUACUGGGCGUAAAGGGCGCGUAGGCGGCAUGACAAGUCACUUGUGAAAUCUCUGGGCUUAACCCAGAACGGCCAAGUGAUACUGUCGCGCUAGAGUGCAGAAGGGGCAAUCGGAAUUCUUGGUGUAGCGGUGAAAUGCGUAGAUAUCAAGAGGAACACCUGAGGCGAAGGCGGGUUGCUGGGCUGAUACUGACGCUGAGGCGCGAAAGCUAGGGUAGCAAACGGGAUUAGAUACCCCCGUAGUCCCUGAGCGGGCUGGCAAGGCGCAU
rnacentral:rRNA from 1 species